rnacentral:rRNA from 1 species
CGUACACUCCUACGGGAGGCAGCAGUGGGGAAUAUUGGACAAUGGGCGCAAGCCUGAUCCAGCCAUGCCGCGUGAGUGAUGAAGGCCCUAGGGUUGUAAAGCUCUUUCACCGGUGAAGAUAAUGACGGUAACCGGAGAAGAAGCCCCGGCUAACUUCGUGCCAGCAGCCGCGGUAAUACGAAGGGGGCUAGCGUUGUUCGGAUUUACUGGGCGUAAAGCGCACGUAGGCGGACUAUUAAGUCAGGGGUGAAAUCCCGGGGCUCAACCCCGGAACUGCCUUUGAUACUGGUAGUCUUGAGUUCGAGAGAGGUGAGUGGAAUUCCGAGUGUAGAGGUGAAAUUCGUAGCUAUUCGGAGGAACACCAGUGGCGAAGGCGGCUCACUGGCUCGAUACUGACGCUGAGGUGCGAAAGCGUGGGGAGCAAACAGGAUUAGAUACCCCAGUAGUCCCAUG